GAAGUUGACCAGACAGUCGCCGCUUUGUUGCCGUCCUCCGUAAGGGGGAGACAGAUGAAGGGGAGGAAAGUCCGGGCUCCAUAGGGCAGGGUGCCAGGUAACGCCUGGGGGGGAAACCCACGACCAGUGCAACAGAGAGCAAACCGCCGAUGGCCCGCGCAAGCGGGAUCAGGUAAGGGUGAAAGGGUGCGGUAAGAGCGCACCGCGCGGCUGGUAACAGUCCGUGGCACGGUAAACUCCACCCGGAGCAAGGCCAAAUAGGGGUUCACAUGGUACGGCCCGUACUGAACCCGGGUAGGCUGCUUGAGCCAGUGAGUGAUUGCUGGCCUAGAUGAAUGACUGUCCACGACAGAACCCGGCUUAUCGGUCAACUUCACCU
rnacentral:RNase_P_RNA from 1 species